GACGAACGCUGGCGGCGUGCUUAACACAUGCAAGUCGAACGGAAAGGCCUUUUCGGAGGUACUCGAGUGGCGAACGGGUGAGUAACACGUGGGUGAUCUGCCCUGCACUCUGGGAUAAGCCUGGGAAACUGGGUCUAAUACCGGAUAGGACCGCACUUUAGUGUGUGUGGUGGAAAGUUUUUUCGGUGUAGGAUGAGCCCGCGGCCUAUCAGCUUGUUGGUGGGGUAAUGGCCUACCAAGGCGGCGACGGGUAGCCGGACUGAGAGGUUGGUCGGCCACAUUGGGACUGAGAUACAGCCCAGACUCCUACGGGAGGCAGCAGUGGGGAAUAUUGCACAAUGGGCGCAAGCCUGAUGCAGCGACGCCGCGUGGGGGAUGACGGCCUUCGGGUUGUAAACUCCUUUCGCCAGGGACGAAGCGUUUUGUGACGGUACCUGGAGAAGAAGCACCGGCUAACUACGUG
rnacentral:rRNA from 1 species